UAGCGAUCCCAGGUACCCCCUCCUCUGUCAGAGUCCCUAACUGGGGCUGCUACAAGGAAGCUUCCAGGUCCUUUUGAGAGGCAAAGCUAUUUUGAAACUAUGUGGUUGUCAGUCAAGACACCAGGACACUAAGACACCUAUUCAAGAAGGGGAUUUUUCAGGUGUCUGUUUAGCACUUUGUGGUUGGAAACCCUGAACUGGAGCUGUAUGUUCGAGCAGAGAAGGGAUACCUCAACCCACCAGGAACAAAACUCAAAACUACCAUGCAACUGUUGGCAAAUAAUGCAACUGGUGAGUGCGCUGCGGUGGCCACUGCUUGAAGGGUGACCCACCGUGGAACAGAGCCUCAUUUCGUGUGCCAGCCUCGUGAUCGCUUCUGCAUCUCCAAGUGUAGGCUCAGCUCCACACACUCACCUCUGCCUCAGAGUUUUGUCAGUGACAUUCUGUGAAAAUGUCUCCCACCAAUCCAUCCAUAACUCGGAAGUGUAGAAUACUGCUGCCAGGUUAGUUCAAAGUUCAUAUUAGGUCAGAAGUUUUUCACCUAAUGCAUGGAAUGUAAAACAGUUGUAAAGGACAUGGCUUAGAGUACAGAAAUAAAGAAGGAUCUGGAAUGUUUCAAUGAAAUGUGACAUGACAAAACUUUCUGAACAUCUUGUUUGAAAAAUGACCAUUCAUGGCCUAUUGCUUAAUUUUUUCCCAAGAAUUGUGGUAUCUCUGAGGCUCAUCUUUGGGCAAACAAAACCAAAAGCAAAACCAAAAGAGAUCUACUCUAUUUCAUACACUGAAUAUUAACAGGUUUCCCUAGGCCCUCAAUAAGAGUGAAGAAAACUGGUUAAAGAAUACAAAUAUGUUGGAUCAACAAUGCUGUAAACUGAAUUUCAGAAUAAAUCAAGAUGGGCAUCUCACCA